rnacentral:rRNA from 1 species
UACGUAGGCAGCAAGCGUUGUUCGGAAUUACUGGGCGUAAAGAGUGUGUAGGCGGUGCUCUAAGUUCGGUGUGAAAUCUCCCGGCUUAACUGGGAGGGUGCGCCGGAAACUGGCAGGCUAGAGUGCGGGAGAGGAGAGUGGAAUUCCUGGUGUAGCGGUGAAAUGCGCAGAUAUCAGGAGGAACACCGGUGGCGAAGGCGGGUCUCUGGGCCGUAACUGACGCUGAGGAGCGAAAGCGUGGGGAGCGAACAGG